UGAGGAAUAUUGCACAAUCGGCGCAAGCCUGAUGCAGCAACGCCGCGUGAGGGACGAAGGCCUUCGGGUCGUAAACCUCUUUUCUGAGGGACGAGUAAGGACGGUACCUCAGGAAUAAAUCUCGGCUAACUACGUGCCAGCAGCCGCGGUAAAACGUAGGAGGCGAGCGUUAUCCGGAUUUACUGGGCGUAAAGCGUACGCAGGUGGCUUCGUGAGUCGGACAUGAAAGCUCCUGGCUUAACUGGGAGAGGUUGUUCGAUACUGCGGGGCUUGAGGUUGGGAGAGGGACGUGGAAUUCCCGGUGUAGUGGUGGAAUGCGUAGAUAUCGGGAGGAACACCAGUGGCGCAAGCGGCGUCCUGGCCCACACCUGACGCUGAGGAGCGAAAGCGUGGGUAGCAAACAG
rnacentral:rRNA from 1 species